rnacentral:lncRNA from 1 species
AAGCGUUUCUGUUUGUUACUUUUUGCAAAUCAUCGUAGCGCUACUGAGCGUGCUGACUUUGAACUUCACGGCCUACUCGUGAGGCUGUCCUUCGUCGGUACGUCCUUCCCUUCUCAAUCCCUGCUUUGUUUAUAACCCCGGUGGGGCAGUGGUGAGCUUAGCGUUUAGCAGAAAACUAGACAGGUGCAUCGUUAUGUGAACAACGCAAGCGACGCAUCGCAUGGAGCGCCCAAACAGUAUUGAUCAUGACGUUCAUGACAUGCAACCAGAAGAGUUAUGUACCGGUCCCCAUGCACUUGAGGGUCAUAGAACGGGGACCCCAAAACGAACGGCGCAAGGCCUCACACGGGGAACGUAAACCCUCC